rnacentral:rRNA from 1 species
UUAUGUGAUCGUCUCUCGCAUAUCAAUAAGCGGAGGAAAAGAAACUAACAAGGAUUCCCCUAGUAACGGCGAGUGAAGCGGGAAGAGCUCAAAUUUGAAAUCUUAAAGGGUUUCCCUUUACGAAUUGUAGUUUAAAGAAGUGUUUUCUGUUGAGGUUUUGGUAAAAGUUCUUUGGAAUAGGACAUCAUAGAGGGUGAGAAUCCCGUAUUUGACCUUUACUUUCAACUUUGUGAUACACUUUCAAAGAGUCGGAUUGUUUGGGAAUGCAGUCCAAAAUGGGUGGUAAAUUUCAUCUAAAGCUAAAUAUUGGCGAGAGACCGAUAGCGAACAAGUACCGUGAGGGAAAGAUGAAAAGAACUUUGAAAAGAGAGUUAAACAGUACGUGAAAUUGUCAAAAGGGAAGCGUUUGACACCAGUGUUGUUUUUCUGAAAAUCAAUUAAAGAACUGUUUAUGCUAAGCUGUUUAGACUUUAUCAGCUAUCUGUUUAGUUUUAGGCUUUUCUUUAAUGCACUUUUCAGUUAACAAGUCAACAUCAAUUUCUUUUGCUGUAAAAAAGCUUGAGGAAGGUGGCUUGAGAUUCGUCUUAAGUGUUUAUAGCCUCUUGCCUAUGCAGUCGGAGAGAUUGAGGUCUGCAGCGUAGAUCCUUCGGGGCUAAAUGCAUUUGUGCUAAGUUAUAGCAUUUUAUAGACAACUUGUUGACUAUGAUUUGUCUUGUAGCUUACUCGCUUAUGUUAUUUUACCUACGCUUAGGAUGUUGAUCUACAGAGCGAGAGU